UACAUUCAAUAAGCGGAGGAAAAGAAACCAACAGGGAUUGCCUCAGUAACGGCGAGUGAAGCGGCAACAGCUCAAAUUUGAAAUCUGGCUCUUUCAGGGUCCGAGUUGUAAUUUGUAGAGGAUGUUUCGGGUGUGGCUCCGGUCUAAGUUCCUUGGAACAGGACGUCAUAGAGGGUGAGAAUCCCGUAUGUGACUGGUAGCCUAUGCUCAUGUGAAACUCCUUCGACGAGUCGAGUUGUUUGGGAAUGCAGCUCAAAAUGGGUGGUAAAUUUCAUCUAAAGCUAAAUAUUGGCCAGAGACCGAUAGCGCACAAGUAGAGUGAUCGAAAGAUGAAAAGCACUUUGGAAAGAGAGUUAAACAGUACGUGAAAUUGUUGAAAGGGAAGCGCUUGCAACCAGACUUGCAUGUAGCUGAUCAACCGGUGUUCUCACCGGUGCACUCAGUUGCGUUCAGGCCAGCAUCGGUUUCGACGGUUGGAUAAAGGCCUUGGGAAUGUAGCUUCUUUCGGGGAGUGUUAUAGCCCAGGGUGCAAUGCAGCCUGUCGGGACCGAGGACCGCGCUUCGGCUAGGAUGCUGGCGUAAUGGUUGUAAGCGACCCGUCUUGAAACACGGACCAAGGAGUCUAACAUCUAUGCGAGUGUUUGGGUGUCAAACCCAUACGCGUAAUGAAAGUGAACGGAGGUGAGAACCCUUAAGGGUGCAUCAUCGACCGAUCCUGAUGUCUUCGGAUGGAUUUGAGUAAGAGCAUAGCUGUUGGGACCCGAAAGAUGGUGAACUAUGCCUGAAUAGGGUGAAGCCAGAGGAAACUCUGGUGGAGGCUCGCAGCGGUUCUGACGUGCAAAUCGAUCGUCAAAUUUGGGUAUAGGGGCGAAAGACUAAUCGAACCAUCUAGUAGCUGGUUCCUGCGAUU
rnacentral:rRNA from 1 species